rnacentral:ncRNA from 1 species
AGAGUAUUGAGAGGAUCUUUCUUUAGUACGAGAAGACUAGGAAAGAUGCAUCGUUGGUGUACCAAUUAUCCCACAAUAAACGUUUUGUCAAGUGCGGAACGGAUAACUGUUGAAAGCAUUUAAGUAGUAAGGCCAUCCCAAGAUGAGUGCUCU